GAAUUCGCCCUUAGAGUUUGAUCCUGGCUCAGGAUGAACGCUGGCGGCGUGCUUAACACAUGCAAGUCGAACGGGAAACCUUUUAUUGAAGCUUCGGCAGAUUUAGAUUGUUUCUAGUGGCGGACGGGUGAGUAACGCGUGGGUAACCUGCCUUAUACAGGGGGAUAACAGUCAGAAAUGACUGCUAAUACCGCAUAAGCGCACAGAGCUGCAUGGCUCGGUGUGAAAAACUCCGGUGGUAUAAGAUGGACCCGCGUUGGAUUAGCUAGUUGGUGAGGUAAUGGCCCACCAAGGCGACGAUCGGUAGCCGGACUGAGAGGUUGAACGGCCACAUUGGGACUGAGACACGGCCCAGACUCCUACGGGAGGCAGCAGUGGGGAAUAUUGCACAAUGGGGGAAACCCUGAUGCAGCGACGCCGCGUGGAGGAAGAAGGUCUUCGGAUUGUAAACUCCUGUUGUUGAGGAAGAUAAUGACGGUACUCAACAAGGAAGUGACGGCUAACUACGUGCCAGCAGCCGCGGUAAAACGUAGGUCACAAGCGUUGUCCGGAAUUACUGGGUGUAAAGGGAGCGCAGGCGGGAAGACAAGUUGGAAGUGAAAUCUAUGGGCUCAACCCAUAAACUGCUUUCAAAACUGUUUUUCUUGAGUAGUGCAGAGGUAGGCGGAAUUCCCGGUGUAGCGGUGGAAUGCGUAGAUAUCGGGAGGAACACCAGUGGCGAAGGCGGCCUACUGGGCACCAACUGACGCUGAGGCUCGAAAGUGUGGGUAGCAAACAGGAUUAGAUACCCUGGUAGUCCACACCGUAAACGAUGAUUACUAGGUGUUGGAGGAUUGACCCCUUCAGUGCCGCAGUUAACACAAUAAGUAAUCCACCUGGGGAGUACGACCGCAAGGUUGAAACUCAAAGGAAUUGACGGGGGCCCGCACAAGCAGUGGAGUAUGUGGUUUAAUUCGACGCAACGCGAAGAACCUUACCAAGUCUUGACAUCCCUUGACGAACAUAGAAAUAUGUUUUCUCUUCGGAGCAAGGAGACAGGUGGUGCAUGGUUGUCGUCAGCUCGUGUCGUGAGAUGUUGGGUUAAGUCCCGCAACGAGCGCAACCCUUACUGUCAGUUACUACGCAAGAGGACUCUGGCAGGACUGCCGUUGACAAAACGGAGGAAGGUGGGGAUGACGUCAAAUCAUCAUGCCCUUUAUGACUUGGGCUACACACGUACUACAAUGGCGUUAAACAAAGAGAAGCAAGACCGCGAGGUGGAGCAAAACUCAGAAACAACGUCCCAGUUCGGACUGCAGGCUGCAACUCGCCUGCACGAAGUCGGAAUUGCUAGUAAUCGUGGAUCAGCAUGCCACGGUGAAUACGUUCCCGGGCCUUGUACACACCGCCCGUCA
rnacentral:rRNA from 1 species